rnacentral:rRNA from 1 species
UACAGAGGUCUCAAGCGUUGUUCGGAUUCAUUGGGCGUAAAGGGUGCGUAGGCUGUGAGGUAAGUCUGGUGUGAAAUCCCGGGGCUCAACUCCGGAACUGCACUGGAUACUGCUUUACUAGAGCACUGGAGAGGGAACUGGAAUUUACGGUGUAGCAGUGAAAUGCGUAGAUAUCGUAAGGAAGACCAGUGGCGAAGGCGGGUCUCUGGACAGUUCCUGACGCUGAGGCACGAAGGCCAGGGGAGCAAACGGG